AUUUAUUAGAUAAAAAGCCAGUUCAUGCUUUUACAGUAUGAAAAUUGGUGAUUUAUAAUAACUUAGCAAAUCGCAAAGUGAAAACAGGCGAUAAAUCAUUCAAGUUUCUGACCUAUCAGCUUUCGACGGUAUGGUAUUGGCUUACCGUGGCAGUGACGGUUAACGGGGGAUUAGGGUUCGAUUCCGGAGAGGGAGCCUGAGAAACGGCUACCACAUCUAAGGAAGGCAGCAGGCGCGCAAAUUACCCAAUUCUAACAGUUUGAGAGAGGUAGUAACAAGAAAUAACAAUACAAGGCAGUUAAAAUGCUUUGUAAUUGGAAUGAUAGAAAUUUAAACCCUUUUUAAAGUAUCAAUUGGAGGGCAAGUCUGGUGCCAGCAGCCGCGGUAAUUCCAGCUCCAAUAGCGUAUAUUAAAAUUGUUGCAGUUAAAAAGCUCGUAGUUGAAGUUCUGCUGAAAGUAACCGGUCUGCUUUUAAUAAAAGUGGUAUCUUGGUAUGUAUUUAGCAAUGAUGUCCUUUGAAGUGUUUUUUACUUUAUUGUAAUAAAGCAUAUUCAGGACUUUUACUUUGAGAAAAUUAGAGUGUUUCUAGCAGGCUAACGCUUUGAAUACUGCAGCAUGGAAAUAAUAAG
rnacentral:rRNA from 1 species